rnacentral:rRNA from 1 species
GGGGAGCUGGGCGGAGCUGAUCAGCAUACCGCGUGUGUGAAGAAGGCCUGAGGGUUGUAAAGCACUUUUAAUGGGGAGGAACACCUGCCGGCGAAUACCCGGCAGCUUGACAUUACUCAUAGAAAAAGCACCGGCUAACUCCGUGCCAGCAGCCGCGGUAAUA